rnacentral:lncRNA from 1 species
AUCUAAUGCUUUCUUAAAUUUAUAAAAUUUUACAGGGAUUUUAUUAAGAAUUAUUCUAAGAUUGUUGCUCCACUUAUAUUGUCGUAAUAUGUGAAGUCUUGCUUAAGAAUGCUCCAGAUACUUGGUUGUAGAAGAUAAAAUAGAAAUUGCAACAACAAAAUCCUAGCUCUAAUAGAAUACUAACUAAAAUUUAAUUAGAUAAUAACAAUGCUAAGCAAGCUUUAAUCAAAUUCAAAGAAACUUCAAAGGACUUACAAAGAAACAAUAAGAAAUCUUAAAGAAAUAUUAGAAUGAACACAAAUAUAUCUAAAAUAUAUUCCAAUUCAAUCUUAAUUUAAUCCUAGUUUAAAUACUAUUGGACUUCAUUCAAACUUUAGGCUAAAAACUAACUAAAUUUUAAAUCCUAAACAAAUCCUAAUAAAAUCCUAAAUCCUAAGCUAAAUCCUAAUCAAAUUCUAAAUCCUAAACUAAACCCUAAUCAAAUCCUAAAUCCUAAUUCUAAAUCAAAUCCUAACCAAAUCCUAAAUCCUAAAUCAAAUCCUAAUCAACUCUUCAAUCUUAAACUAAAUCCUAAUCAAAUCCUAAAUCCUAAAUGAAAUUCUAAUCUUAAAUCAAACCCUAAUAAUUCCUACAACAAAUUUAAACCUCAAUUACUAAUAAAUGAACUAUUGAUCUUAACUCUAAAUUUGCACACUUCUU